rnacentral:rRNA from 1 species
UGAGUACGAGCUGCUACGGCAGCGAAGUGGGUGAUGUCAAGCUUCCAAGAAAAGCCCUAUACCCGUUAAGGCAUGAUGGCCUGUACCCGAAACCGACACAGGUGGGGUGGUAGAGAAUACCGAGGGGCGCGAGAUAACUCUCUCUAAGGAACUCGGCAAAAUGGCCCCGUAACUUCGGGAGAAGGGGUGCCACCGCAAGGUGGUCGCAGUGAAGAGGCCCAGGCGACUGUUUACCAAAAACACAGGUCUCCGCUAAGUCGCAAGACGAUGUAUGGGGGCUGACGCCUGCCCAGUGCCGGAAGGUUAAGGAAGCUGGUCAGCGUAAGCGAAGCUAGCGACUGAAGCCCCGGUGAACGGCGGCCGUAACAAUAUCGGUCCUAAGGUAGCGAAAUUCCUUGUCGGGUAAGUUCCGACCCGCACGAAAGGCGUAACGAUCUGGGCGCUGCCUCGGAGAGAGGCUCGGCGAAAUAGAAUUGUCUGUGAAGAUGCGGACUACGUGCACCCGGACAGAAAGACCCUAUGAAGCUUUACUGUAGCUUGGUAUUGUGCUCGGGCUCGGAAUGCGCAGGAUAGGUGGGAGGCUAUGAACCAUUGCUUGUGGGUGAUGGUGAGCCACUGGUGAGAUACCACUCUUUCCGAGCUAGAGUUCUAACAGCCACCCGUUAUCCGGGGGCUGGACAGUAUCAGGUGGGCAGUUUGACUGGGGCGGUCGCCUCCUAAAAGGUAACGGAGGCGCGCAAAGGUUUGCUCAGGCUGGUUGGAAAUCAGCCGACGAGUGUAAAAGCAGAAGCAAGCUUGACUGUGAGACCUACAAGUCGAACAGGGAGGAAACUCGGCUUUAGUGAUCCGACGGUUCUGCGUGGAAGGGCCGUCGCUCAACGGAUAAAAGUUACUCUAGGAUAACAGGCUGAUCUCCCCCAAGAGUUCACAUCGACGGGGAGGUUUGGCACCUCGAUGUCGGCUCAUCGCAACCUGGGGCUGAAGUCGGUCCCAAGGGUUGGGCUGUUCGCCCAUUAAAGCGGUACGCGAGCUGGGUUCAGAACGUCGUGAGACAGUUCGGUCCAUAUCCGGUGCAUGCGCAGGAAUAUUGAGAGGAUUUCUCCCUAGUACGAGAGGACCGGGAGGAACGCACCUCUGGUGUACCAGUUAUCGUGCCAACGGUAAACGCUGGGUAGCCAUGUGCGGAGAGGAUAACCGCUGAAAGCAUCUAAGUGGGAAGCCCACCUCAAGAUGAGUAUUCCCAUGGGGUAACCCAGUAAGGUCACGGGAAGAACACCCGUUGAUAGGCUCUACGUGGAAGCGCAGUAAUGUGUGAAGCGGAGGAGUACUAAUAGACCGAGGGCUUGACC